GGCAGUUCUCGAGUGACACAUCCCAGAAUCGGGCUCCCUCCUCUCUGGUUCCGGGUGCGUCACCUGAGAACUACC
rfam:Myotis davidii contig283323, whole genome shotgun sequence.